ACGCUCGACACCUACGGGGGGCAGCAGUGGGGAAUAUUGGGCAAUGGGCGAAAGCCUGACCCAGCAACGCCGCGUGAGGGAAGAAGGUUUUUCGGAUUGUAAACCUCUGUCCUCAGGGACGAAGGACGUGACGGUACCUGAGGAGGAAGCCCCGGCUAACUACGUGCUAGCAGCCGCGGUAAUCUGAGCGGGCUGGCAAGGC
rnacentral:rRNA from 1 species